rnacentral:lncRNA from 1 species
UGACAGUGACUCGGAUGAAAAUUUAGCUCUGGUGAAGGAGCUUGACAGGCUGCAUAAAAAAAGGAAGGAAUGGCACCAUAAUAUCUUGCACAGCGAAAUCACUCAUGAAAAGGUCGAUCACUUAGGCUGUAUUGAAGGAACCAUUGAGAGGCUGGAAAAGCUGAUCUUGGAUAAAGGAGGAAAACUACCGCCGCGCAAGACCUAGCAGUGCCACUUUAGAUUCUGGUGCCUUGCAGACCAAUGGUGCAAAACCAUUCCAUGAAGUGCAAGCACACUUCAUGAAAUGCUCGAGAUUUGAGUCACUUUAUUCGUUUUGUUAUGUAAAGCUUCUGCAAUAACUUUAGCAUCAAUAAUUUCAUAGUUGCUUCAUUCUACACUUACUACACAUCACAAAAAGCAUAUGAACACUGAUAUGGGAAUCUGGCACAUAGUAUUCUGUCGUUCCUGCAAGUGUGCAUCAGUCAUUUCAUAUUCAAUAUCAUUGUAUAUUCUGCACAGUUCAUUCUAACA